rnacentral:rRNA from 1 species
AGGGUUUGAUUAUGGCUCAGAUUGAACGCUGGCGGCAUGCCUUACACAUGCAAGUCGAACGGUAACAGGUUAAGCUGACGAGUGGCGAACGGGUGAGUAAUAUAUCGGAACGUGCCCAGUUGUGGGGGAUAACUACUCGAAAGAGUGGCUAAUACCGCAUGAGACCUGAGGGUGAAAGCGGGGGAUCGCAAGACCUCGCGCAAUUGGAGCGGCCGAUAUCAGAUUAGCUAGUUGGUGGGGUAAAAGCCCACCAAGGCAACGAUCUGUAGCUGGUCUGAGAGGACGACCAGCCACACUGGGACUGAGACACGGCCCAGACUCCUACGGGAGGCAGCAGUGGGGAAUUUUGGACAAUGGACGAAAGUCUGAUCCAGCCAUGCCGCGUGCGGGAAGAAGGCCUUCGGGUUGUAAACCGCUUUUGUCAGGGAAGAAACGGGUUUCUCUAAUACAGAGGCCUAAUGACGGUACCUGAAGAAUAAGCACCGGCUAACUACGUGCCAGCAGCCGCGGUAAUACGUAGGGUGCAAGCGUUAAUCGGAAUUACUGGGCGUAAAGCGUGCGCAGGCGGUUAUGCAAGACAGAGGUGAAAUCCCCGGGCUC